CCUACGGGAGGCAGCAGUGAGGAAUAUUGGUCAAUGGACGAGAGUCUGAACCAGCCAAGUAGCGUGAAGGAUGACUGCCCUAUGGGUUGUAAACUUCUUUUAUAAAGGAAUAAAACGAGGCACGUGUGCCUUUUUGCAUGUACUUUAUGAAUAAGGAUCGGCUAACUCCGUGCCAGCAGCCGCGGUAAUACGGAGGAUCCGAGCGUUAUCCGGAUUUAUUUGGUUUAAAGGGAGCGUAGAUGGGUUGUUAAGUCAGUUGUGAAAGUUUGCGGCUCAACCGUAAAAUUGCAAUUGAUACUGGCAGUCUUGAGUACAGUUGAGGUAAGCGGAAUUCGUGGUGUAGCGGUGAAAUGCUUAGAUAUCACGAAGAACCCCGAUUGCGAAGGCAGCUUACUAAACUGUGACUGACAUUGAUGCUGGAAAGUGUGGGUAUCAAACAGGAUUAGAUACCCUAGUAGUC
rnacentral:rRNA from 1 species